rnacentral:tRNA from 1 species
UCCCUGGCAGUCCAGUGGUUAGGACUCCACGCUUCCGCUGCUGGGGGCCUAGGUUCAAUCCCUGGUCAGGGAA